GAAAUGCGAUAAUUAAUGUGAAUUGCAGAAUUCAGUGAAUCAUCGAGUCUUUGAACACACAUUGCGCCCCCUGGUAUUCCCGGGGGCAUGCCUGUCCGAGCGUCAUUGCUGCCCUCAAGCACGGCUUGUGUGUUGGGCUUCCGUCCCUGGCAACGGGGACGGGCCCAAAAGGCAGUGGCGGCACCAUGUCUGGUCCUCGAGCGUAUGGGGCUUUGUCACCCGCUCCCGUAGGUCCAGCUGGCAGCUAGCCUCGCAACCAAUCUUUUUAACCAGGUUGACCUCGGAUCAGGUAGGGAUACCCGCUGAACUUAAGC
rnacentral:misc_RNA from 1 species